rnacentral:rRNA from 1 species
GACGAACGCUGGCGGCGUGCUUAACACAUGCAAGUCGAACGGAAAGGCCCUGCUUUUGUGGGGUGCUCGAGUGGCGAACGGGGGAGUAACACGUGAGUAACCUGCCCUUGACUGGGGGAGAACUUCAGGAAACUGGGGCUAAUACCGGAUAGGAGCUCCGGCUGCAGGGUGGGGGUUGGAAAGGUUCGGCGGGGGGGGAUGGACUCGCGGCUUAUCAGCUUGUUGGUGGGGUAGUGGCUUACCAAGGCUUUGACGGGUAGCCGGCCUGAGAGGGUGACCGGCCACAUUGGGACUUCGCUACGGCCCAGACUCCUCCGGGAGGCAGCCGUGCGGCCUCUUGCCCCAUGGGCGGACGCCUGCUGCAGCCACGCCGCGUGCGGGAUGACGGCCUUCGGGUUGUCAACCGCUUUCGCCUGUGCCGAAGCGUGCGUGCCGGUACUGGGUAAAGACGCACCGGCUAACUACGUG